rnacentral:rRNA from 1 species
GACAGAGGGUGCAAACGUUGUUCGGAAUUACUGGGCGUAAAGCGCGUGUAGGCUGCUCAGAAAGUCGGAUGUGAAAGCCCUGGGCUUAACCUAGGAAGUGCAUUCGAAACUUCUGAGCUGGAGUCCUGGAGAGGAAGGUGGAAUGCUUGGUGUAGAGGUGAAAUUCGUAGAUAUCAAGCGGAACACCGGUGGCGAAGGCGGCCUUCUGGACAGUGACUGACGCUGAGACGCGAAAGCGUGGGGAGCAAACAGG